rnacentral:rRNA from 1 species
CGCGUAGGUGGUAGUGCAAGUCUGGGGUGGAAUCUUAGGGCUUAACCCUAAAACUGCCUUGGAAACUGCAUUACUUGAGUCAGUGAGGGGAGGGUAGAAUUCCUGGUGUAGCGGUGAAAUGCGUAGAUAUCAGGAGGAAGGCCGGUGGCGAGGGCGGCCCUCUGGCGCUGAACUGACACUGAGGCGCGAAAGCGUGGGGAGCAAACAGGAUUAGAUGCCCUGGUAGUCCACGCCCUAAACGGUGGGCACUAGGUGUAGGGCUCGUAAGGGUUCUGUGCCGAAGGGAAACCAUUAAGUGCCCCGCCUGGGGAGUACGGCCGCAAGGUUGAA